AUUGAACGCUGGCGGCAUGCCUUACACAUGCAAGUCGGACGGCAGCACGGGUGCUUGCACCUGGUGGCGAGUGGCGAACGGGUGAGUAAUACAUCGGAACAUGUCCUGUAGUGGGGGAUAGCCCGGCGAAAGCCGGAUUAAUACCGCAUACGAUCUACGGAUGAAAGCGGGGGACCUUCGGGCCUCGCGCUAUAGGGUUGGCCGAUGGCUGAUUAGCUAGUUGGUGGGGUAAAGGCCUACCAAGGCGACGAUCAGUAGCUGGUCUGAGAGGACGACCAGCCACACUGGGACUGAGACACGGCCCAGACUCCUACGGGAGGCAGCAGUGGGGAAUUUUGGACAAUGGGCGAAAGCCUGAUCCAGCAAUGCCGCGUGUGUGAAGAAGGCCUUCGGGUUGUAAAGCACUUUUGUCCGGAAAGAAAUCCUUGGCCCUAAUACGGUCGGGGGAUGACGGUACCGGAAGAAUAAGCACCGGCUAACUACGUG
rnacentral:rRNA from 1 species